CUCCAGACCCCUAAUGCCCUACAACUGGCAGAAAUUAUCAGUGUCCUUUUUACAAAAAGUGAGGAUUUGAAUAGAAAUUAGUACUUUUAUAAAUUAAAUUUGUUACACAGACCAGGCUUUCAAUCAGACAACCAGUAAUCAGAGUAAAAUACAAAACAAUGGAAAUCGCUAGAGAAAACAAUACUAUAAAAGAAAAAUAUAGGAGGCACUAAACCUAGCGUAGGGUUCCCUACUAACAAGAACAAUUCAGAUGUUAAAGAGAGAAGGGUUGCGCCGAAGAAAAAAGCUAAGUACUUAAAAAUAUAUCUUUAAAAUAGUCCAAUAGAAAUGUCAAAUUCAAACUACAAAUAAUGCCAAAAAGAGUCCUAGUGCAAAUCUUGCCAGAGAGACAGCCAACAGUCUUGUGGGAGCAAUGUUCUCAGUAGGAGCUGGAUAGGAACAACUUGUGGGAUCCGUAUGUGGAAACAAAGAAAGGAUGAUAGUGCAAUAAAUCCAAUAUAAAAGGGGUUAUUAAGGCAACCAGUAAUCCGGGCCAGCACACAGCUAGGCAAACUAGGCAGCCACCUAGUCACAGCCAGUGGCUGAACUACAGGGGUUGCUGAGGUUGACGAGGGGACCGGGCCCCAUGUGUACUGCCUGUUAGGAGGCCUAUGAGCUGGCAUCACCUCAGGGCCCCACAAGAGGCAGUCAACUGUUCGCUGAGGCAGAGAAUGCACCUGCUUACCUGAACUGGAAUAUAGUGUGUCCAGGGAGGGCUGAGCACUAAUGCUUCUGCUCCAUCGCGUGCCCUCUGUUGUGAUGUGGGAGCUGGAAUAUGAUGUCACUCUGGCAUUGGCCUCAUUAAACAACACAUGAGGGAGCAGUGAGGUAGAAAAAAGAUUCAAAAAGUCCUAAACUAGGGAGGCUGGUU